AUUUAAGUAUUUUUAUAGAAGAGAAACUGAUGAAUUGAAAUCAUGUCCAGUACUCGAUCUGUGAUUGAUCAAUUUAUAGUAUGAUUUUCAU
rnacentral:miRNA from 2 species